UACGAAGGGGGCUAGCGUUGCUCGGAAUUACUGGGCGUAAAGGGCGCGUAGGCGGAUAUUUAAGUCGGGGGUGAAAGCCCAGGGCUCAACCCUGGAACAGCCUUCGAUACUGGAUAUCUUGAGUACGGGAGAGGUGAGUGGAACUCCGAGUGUAGAGGUGAAAUGCGCAGAUAUCAGGAGGAACACCGGUGGCGAAGGCAGGUCUCUGGGCAGUAACUGACGCUGAGGAGCGAAAGCGUGGGGAGCGAACAGG
rnacentral:rRNA from 1 species